AUGGCCUACGGGGCGCAGCAGUAGGGAAUUUUCGUCAAUGGGCGCAAGCCUGAACGAGCAAUGCCGCGUGAACGAGGAAGGUCUUCGGAUCGUAAAGUUCUGUUGAAGGGGAAAGGGAGCGGAGAGAGGAAAUGAACUCCGAUUGAUAUUACCCUUCGAGGAAGUCACGGCUAACUACGUGCCAGCAGCCGCGGUAAUACGUAGGUGGCGAGCGUUAUCCGGAAUGAUUGGGCGUAAAGGGUGCGUAGGCGGCCUGCUAAGUCUGGAGUGA
rnacentral:rRNA from 1 species